rnacentral:rRNA from 1 species
GAGCGGCGGACGGGUGAGUAAUACUUAGGAAUCUACCUAGUAGUGGGGGAUAGCACGGGGAAACUCGUAUUAAUACCGCAUACUACCUACGGGAGAAAGGGGGCAGUUUACUGCUCUCGCUAUUAGAUGAGCCUAAGUCGGAUUAGCUAGAUGGUGGGGUAAAGGCCUACCAUGGCGACGAUCUGUAGCUGGUCUGAGAGGAUGAUCAGCCACACCGGGACUGAGACACGGCCCGGACUCCUACGGGAGGCAGCAGUGGCGAAUAUUGCCAAUGGGGGAAACCCUGAUCCAGCCAUGCCGCGUGUGCGAAGAAGGCCUUUUGGUUGUAAAGCACUUUAAGCAGUGAAGAAGACUCUUCGGUAAUACCCGGAGACGAUGACAUUAGCUGCAGAAUAAGCACCGUCUAACUCUGUGCCAGCAGCCGCGGUAAUACAGAGGGUGCAAGCGUUAAUCGGAAUUACUGGGCGUAAAGGGAGCGUAGGUGGCUCGAUAAGUCAGAUGUGAAAUCCCCGGGCUCAACCUGGGAACUGCAUCUGAUACUGUUGAGCUAGAGUAUGUGAGAGGAAGGUAGAAUUCCAGGUGUAGCCGGUGAAA